CGAACAGGAUGACAUCACAGGAACUGGACCUUCGACCAAAUUGUUCUUGGAGACCUCUCCAUAGGUGAAUCAAGAACGGCUUUUCUGAUCCCAUGAGUAGAGAGUCGAAUUCAUAGGAGGUUUCGUGAUAAACAGAAUACCAAUAUAUUUGGACCAUAGUGAUAGUCGAUAGAUAUACCAUGGACAUGGCCAUGGCAUAUACUAUAUUAUUUCCCGCCCCUUUUUUUAACUAAGUAUAUCUUCAUGGGCAUCGAGCUAGACGUCCAUGUACAUCUUGUUCAAUAUAUUGGAAUGAUCACAUCGGAUCAUAAUUCAUACGAUAUGGUGUUGUAGAGGCGUGAGUGUAUACUACAAUCGCUUUUAAACAGUAUUGCGCUUCGUAAGUUCAGUCGUGAAUUAUCGUGCGUGGAGAAUGGAUAUCUUGAAUGAAGAAAUUCACCAUAUUUUACAUUUUUACUAUCUGAAAGGGAAAAAUGUAUCUAAAGCGACCAAGAAAAUUUGCGAUGUAUACGGGGCCGAUACUCUUUCGGUUCGUGUUACUCAACAGUGGUUCGAGCGAUUUCGUUCUGGUGUAGUAGAGGUGAAUGGCGCACCACGCACUGGCAGACCAGUCGUCGAAAAUGUCAAUAAAAUUAUGGGAAAUAUCGAGAUAGACCGUCAUGUUAGCUGUCAUAGCAUCGCCCAAAAGUUGAACAUUGAUCAUAAAACCGUUAUGAACCAUUUGCAGAAAGCUGGAUACAAAAAGAAACUCGUUAUUUGCUGACGCAAAAAAAUCUCAUGGACCGAAUUUCCAUCUGCGAAUCACUACUGAAUUGAAACAAAAUCGAUCCAUUUCUGGAGCGGAUUGUAACUGGCGAUGAAAAAUGGAUUACUUACGUCAAUGUCAAACAACAGAGCUCGGACCCAACCGUGGCCAAGCCUGGAUUGACUGCCAGGAAGGUGUUACUGUGUGUUUGGUGGGAUUGGCAGGGAAUUAUCUACUAUGAGCUGCUCCCCUAUGGUCAAAUGCUCAAUUCUACCCUCUUCUGUGAACAACUGGACCGCUUGAAGCUAGCGAUCGAACAAAAGCGGCCAGUAUUGGUGAAUAAAAGAGGUCUAGUAUUUCAUCAAGACAACGCCAGCCUGCACACAUCUUUGAUGACGCGCCAGAAGCUCCGGAAGCUUGGAUGGGAAGUUCUUAUGCAUCCACCCAACAGUCCAGACCUGGCACCAAGUGACUACCACUGUUCUUGUCUAUUGCCAACGCGCUUAGGGGUACGAAUUUGGCCUCAAUAGAGGCCUGUGAAAAUUGGUUGUCGAGUUUUUUGAGAAUAGGGACAAAGGCUUCUACGAGAAGGGCAUUAUGAAUUUGGAUUCUCGUUGGAAACAAGUUAUCGAACAGAACGGGGCAUAUUUGGCUUAAAUUGGAUGAUCGUAACCCUUCUUAUAAAGCAUUGAUGUAAAGUGAAAAAUACGAAAUACUUUUUCACCAACCUAUUAAUAGCUUCUAGGCAAGCCCAUGGAAUUGUAUACAGGAUGCCAUGAUCUAUUGUACCAUUUCAUUCAAAUCAUUAAUUAAAGCUAAAUUGAAAAUUAAAUAAAUAUAGCAGGCCCAUCACAAAAUCACUUUAGCUUAAGUUUUACCCUUACACAGUUUAAUUUAAUCCUAUGUAAAAUUAUCUCUUUGACUUACAAAUAAUUUUCAAUCCGCUCAAAUUAUUUAUAAUAACAACACUGUUUAGAUAUAUUCUCAUUGUUAGUAAAUAAGUAAAUUCUCUAAUAUAAAGAAUUUAAAGAUGAAAUGUAUAAAUGAAUAUAUUGGAAUCUUAAGCAUUCUCAUCCUUGAAACACUACUAAAAAAUAUAUCCAACAUUUCCUUUGAAACAA
rnacentral:lncRNA from 1 species